GAUGAACGCUGGCGGCGUGCCUAAUACAUGCAAGUCGAACGAAGCAGGGACAGGGGAGUAAGACGUGGAUAAACUCCUAUAAGACUGGGAUAACUUGGGGAAACCGGAGCAAAACCGGCUACUUAUAGAUGGCUCCGCGAUGCAUUAGCUAGUUGGUAAGGUAACGGCUUACCAAGGCAACGAUGAAUAGCCGACCUGAGAGGGUGAUCGGCCACACUGGAACUGAGACACGGCCCAGACUCCUACGGGAGGCAGCAGUAGGGAAUCUUCCGCAAUGGGCGAAAGCCUGACGGAGCAACGCCGCGUGAGUGAUGAAGGUCUUCGGAUCGUAAAACUCUGUUAUUAGGGAAGCGGUACCUAAUCAGAAAGCCACGGCUAACUACGUGCCAGCAGCCGCGGUAAUUC
rnacentral:rRNA from 1 species